UCGUCUUGGUUGUUUCAGCUGCGGCAACAUGCAUGUGUCUGCGUAACCAAUGCAUUCAUUAUUUUAAGUUUAAUUAGACUUUUUUGCUUUGGUUUAAACUAGAAAUACGUACUCCAUAUCUCAUAGCAGUUGGGCCAGCUCAACAGCUCACCUUGAAGAAGACUCAUGUCAAGUUGCUGUUGUUGCACCAGAUUAUGAGACUGUUUGGUCCCGGCUUUAGUUGUCA
rnacentral:lncRNA from 1 species